UCUUUCUGAUUUCAGGAAAUUGUUCAUUAUAACCAACGAAUAACACUUAUCAACGGUUGUCAUGAAAAUAGCUAACUUCACUCUAGAUAUCUUGUAGUUUUGUUAUGGACAAUUUAUACUUACAAUUGAUGAUUAUUAACUAGUUUCUCCUCUGGAAUCUCUUUUACAGAGCUAGAAGUUAAUACUUUGUCCUCAUUUUAAUCUAAGGUGGAAAUUGGAAUGCCCAUAUAAUAGAGCAAAUUAUUUAAAG